CCUGACUUCUUGGAAGGCGAACUCCUGCAGGGUAGAGACCUUGGCACUUAAAAGAUUCUGAACAAAACGUUUAGUGAAGGGAUAUGAUUAAAACCAGGUAGUGCUUACCUCAUUCAGUUGUCCCGGGUGGGCAGGGCAUCCGACGGGAAUAUACUUAAAGCAUUCAAGGUUCGUUGAAAUUUGGUCCCAUAUCAAAGGAACCUAAUACAAUAAUUAAUACUCUGCAUUUGUAAAAUCUUUUCCUCUUAAGAAUGUUACCUCAUUCCAUAUAUAUUUGCUGCUUCAAAUUCCAUAAAAUUCCAAAGCAGAAGAAAGGAUUCAUAUGGGGCAAAUAAGUUUCCAGCUCUCCAUGAUCAGAGUGGAGCAUGUAGAGUUGGCUUGGCUAGUUCUAAGAGCCCUAAGUUCUUUUUGAAGUGGUCUAGUGGGGUUACUUUAGUAUGGUGGAAAGAGUUUGGGGAUGUAAGUCAAAGGACCUAGGCAUGAGACUUUCUGGGCCAUUUAGGUGUAAAUUUCCUCAUCUGAGAAAUGAUUGUUGUGAAGAUGAGAUAAUGUAUAAAGUAUUCUUCAUAAGCCAUAGGAUAUGCCACAC
rnacentral:lncRNA from 1 species